GGUCUAUGAUGACUGGUAAAAGGUCUGAUGGCACUAUACUCCUUCCUGUCACCCAAAUCUCCCAGCAGCAUCUAGGUUUUUGCAUUAUGCUCAGGUUGUGUCAUAUUGUGUUCUGGACGCUGCUGACAUUACUGGAUUAUCUGCAGUUCUGUGUAUUCCAGAGAUAAAGGAUACAUGGAUGCAAAAGGCAUCCCACAUAUAGGCCUCAGAGGAGACCCGCGUGCAGGACUGGAUGCAGUACAUGAUCUUAAGUUUUCAAGCUGAGACC
rnacentral:snoRNA from 1 species